rnacentral:rRNA from 1 species
UACGGAGGGGGCUAGCGUUGUUCGGAAUUACUGGGCGUAAAGCGCGCGUAGGCGGCUUUGUAAGUUAGAGGUGAAAGCCCGAAGCUCAACUUCGGAAUUGCCUUUAAGACUGCAUCGCUAGAAUCAUGGAGAGGUUAGUGGAAUUCCGAGUGUAGAGGUGAAAUUCGUAGAUAUUGGGAAGAACACCGGUGGCGAAGGCGGCGACCUGGUCCUUGACUGACGCUGAGGCGCGAAAGCGUGGGGAGCAAACAGG